CAGUAGCCGCGGUAAAACGUAGGUGGCGAGCGUUGUCCGGAAUCAUUGGGCGUAAAGGGAGCGCAGGCGGGCGCGUAAGUCUUUCUUAGAAGUUCGGGGCUCAACCCCGUGAUGGGAAAGAAACUACAUGUCUUGAGUACAGGAGAGGAAAGCGGAAUUCCCAGUGUAGCGGUGAAAUGCGUAGAUAUUGGGAGGAGCACCAGUGGCGAAGGCGGCUUUCUGGACUGCAACUGACGCUGAGGCUCGAAAGCCAGGGGAGCGAACGGGAUUAGAUACCCCCGUAGUCCCUGUCUCUUAUACA
rnacentral:rRNA from 1 species